UGUCUUAUUUUCAUUUCAUCUAGUGAGGUUAUGUCUAUUCAUUUCAACACUGGAUUAAUUAUGCUUUCUUUCAACAGUCACAUACCCGAAUCACAAAGCAAGGUACAAACCUGAUCAGACUCUGACAUUCUUGAGAAGUUUCUAUGAUUAUUGAUUGAUUUCAUCAACAGGCAUUGCAACUCUUAAGACAAUUUCCAACACUGAAUUUGGUUCCCAACAUGAAAUCAGGAUUCUUCUGACAUUCGCCAGCUUCUGCCCAGAUUGUACACU
rnacentral:lncRNA from 1 species